rnacentral:rRNA from 1 species
GACGGUACCGGAAGAAAAGCUCCGGCUAACUACGUGCCAGCAGCCGCGGUAAUACGUAGGGUGCGAGCGUUAAUCGGAAUGACUGGGCGUAAAGGGUGCGUAGGCGGUUUGUCAAGACGGAUGUGAAAUCCCCGGGCUUAACCUGGGAACAGCAUACGUGACUGGCAGGCUAGAGUAUGGCAGAGGGAGGUGGAAUUCCACGUGUAGCAGUGAAAUGCGUAGAGAUGUGGAGGAACACCGAUGGCGAAGGCAGCCUCCUGGGCCAAUACUGACGCUGAGGCACGAAAGCGUGGGGAGCAAACAGGAUUAGAUACCCUGGUAGUCCACGCCCUAAACGAUGUCAACUAGUUGUUGGGGAUUGCUAUCCUUAGUAACGAAGCUAACGCAUGAAGUUGACCGCCUGGGGAGUACGGUCGCAAGAUUAAAACUUAAAGGAAUUGACGGGGACCCGCACAAGCGGUGGAUGAUGUGGAUUAAUUCGAUGCAACGCGAAAAACCUUACCUACCCUUGACAUGGUCGGAAGUCUGAAGAGAUUUGGGCGUGCUCGCAAGAGAACCGGCGCACAGGUGCUGCAUGGCUAUCGUCAGCUCGUGUCGUGAGAUGUUGGGUUAAGUCCCGCAACGAGCGCAACCCUUAUCCUUAGUUGCUACGCAAGGGCACUCUAAGGAGACUGCCAGUGACAAACUGGAGGAAGGUGGGGAUGACGUUAAGUCCUCAUGGCCCUUACGGGUAGGGCUUCACACGUCAUACAAUGGUCUGUACAGAGGGUGCCAACCCGCGAGGGGGAGCCAAUCCUGAAAAACGGAUCGUAGUCCGGAUUGCAGUCUGCAACUCGACUGCAUGAAGCUGGAAUCGCUAGUAAUCGCGGAUCAGCAUGCCGCGGUGAAUACGAACCCGGGUCUUGUCCA